rnacentral:rRNA from 1 species
GACGAACCGUGCGAACGUUAUUCGGAAUCACUGGGCUUAAAGCGCGUGUAGGCGGGUGGGCACGUCGGCCGCUGAAAUCCCCCGGCUCAACCGGGGAAGGGGCGCCGAUACGACCGGCCUGGAGGGACGUAGGGGGGGCUGGAACUUCCGGUGGAGCGGUGAAAUGCGUUGAGAUCGGAAGGAACGCCCGUGGCGAAAGCGAGCCCCUGGACGUCUACUGACGCUGAGACGCGAAAGCCAGGGGAGCGAACGGG